UAAGUCUUAAAAGCUGUUUUCCUGUGUUAUGACAGUUGGAUAGUUUUCAAUAGAGCAGUACUGAAAGCAAUCCAUUUUUUUUAGUGCCUAAAAAGCAUAAACACACCCUCGAUCUGUGCUGCUUUGCUGAUAAGCUGCCUCUUCCCACAUCGUUGAUUAGAGAGAUUUGUACAACUCCUCCUGUGUGCCAGGCCCUGGUCAAAGCUGAUGGUCUCUCCUCUCCCUCACAGACUGCUUCUAAGGGACUGACAAGUGGUGACUGUGAGAUGCACAGGGAACAGAUGGAGCAGCUGGUGCGGUGCAUGAAAGGUCAAGUGCUGGGACUGAUGGUGUCCUGUCGCACACAGGCCAGUGUCUCAGUGUGACCAUGAGAUUCAGCAGUCAGCCUUGCCCAGGUGUCCUCUCCAGUCUCCAGUGGACCUGGAAGUUGGAGGCAGAAGUGGGGGUGCCAGGAUCCACGUGUUACUGUGUGGUCCUGAGUGGAUUUGCCAUAACAAGUACAUUACUUAUGUCUGGUUUAUCAUACGAUGCUGGUCUUUAUAACUAAUCAUUAAUCUUCUACACUAUUUUCCAUAAGCUUUACCCAUGGAUGAAAGAUUUUUUAACUUUUCCUCACAUGAUAGAUCUAGACUUUGAAAUAUUGAACUAAGGGGAAAAAACCUGGAAAGUAUGUUGAGAAGUACGCACAAUUGCUGCCCUGCCUAACUCUUCAGGUGACAAGUAGCUGUCUAAAGCUUGGAACUGUCAAAGGACUUCUGAGUAUGCUUCCAGCCACAAGUCAGUGACAUCUUAACCAGUGUGUGGAGGAGGAGGGCAUUGGUUUCCACACUGAGGCAGCUCUGUGGUGGUUGUUCCUCUCAGGUACCCUCUACUGGUAAACUUGAACUAUACUGACAGACCAUAGCACAGCUAUGUCCCCAUCGUGCUGGAGUUUGUAUGAAGAGUCAGGAUGUUAAUACUACAUUUUUUUGCCUUCUUUCUCAUAGCUAAUGUCUAUGGAACUAGCUGUAUUACUUGUUUUUUGUUUUGUUUUGUUUUUUAUUGUUAUAGCUCUGUUAAAUGGCCCCCCAAAUUUCCAGAUAGUAUCCCUAACUGCAACAGAAGAAUUUUAUGGAUCCUUAACUCACAAUAAGUUUGACUUUCAACAAUUUGUUCAGUGUGAAUAUUUUUACGUCUUUUUCAUGCUUCCACUUACUUGGAACUCAGUUUAUUCUUAAAAACUGUCUAGUAGAACCAGCUUAUUAAGUGUUACUUUGGUAUGCAGUGAAAUGGUCAAUUAAGCAAUAUUGAAGAAAGAUACUUUGACUGUUUUGAAAUUUAUUAUGAAUCAUAAAACAAAAAUCAUUUCAUAGUAUUUCAGAGAUAAAGUCUCAACUGUUCUUAGUCCAAUAUGUCAGUAGAAUUUAUAGUGCAAAUAAAAUUUGCUUAAUUAAAAGAUUUUUUUUUGAAAGUCCAUCUAUUAUCAGAAAGCACCAGGAAGAAGUUGUAUUAGUAGCUGCUGUUUUCAUUGGAAGAGUUUUUCAUUAAAUUUCUGUGUAAAAUCUAUUCUUAAUAAGAGAUUUUGUUUGUUUUCCAAACAUAGUAUAUAGUGUGAUCUUUUACAAUCGAAAUGGAUAAGGAAGAAACAAGUGAGGGCUGGUGAUGGUCUUAUAACCACUACAGAAACUCUGUGUUUAGUGCUGUAUCUUGUAUUCAUUCUCAUGUUAAUUAAUUACUAGAUGUUGUCAGUCAUGUCUCCAGUGAAAACAGGAGUGAUAGGGCUUUCUGAGUCAGUUGAUGAAUGAAUCAUACUAAUUUUUAACAGUUUUUUCAUAUAAUUUUGUCUCCAUCUUUUCAGUAUGUUGAACAAGUUCUUCUAGGUGGUAAAGUUUGUGUUCCAGGUAUAUUGAGUUUAUGUAUUUAUCAUGUAUGCACUGUUGUUAGGUGAAAACAUACUUCAACUUGAUGGGCAGCCAUUAUUCAGUAUUCAUGUGUACUGAUGUUGAUAUAUAUUAGAUACUGUGUUUUACUAUACCUACAAGGUUAUACAAAAUUCUUUCCUUUUACUCAUGAGUUCUAUCUGUUUGGAUUUUUUGUUUGUUUAGAUUUUUUUCUUCGUGUGUUAAAAAAUAUAGUUUAAUGCUUUUUCUGGUACCUUGCCCUUUGUUGGCAUAAUUGGGAUAUAAAUCGUUCAAAUCUCCACAAUUAAGAGUUUCAGAAAUAUGUGAUACUGGCCACUUGACUUAAUAAAGACUAGAUAUGCAAAACAGGUGGAAAAAAAUACCUAUUUCCUCACUAAAAACAAUUGAAUAUUUUUCUUAUUAUUAGCAAAUAUUAGUAAUAGCAUAGACUGAAUAAUUUCUAUGUUUUGGCAAGCACAUAGUGAGACAAUGCUUAUUACAGUAAGUACUCAUUUCAGUUAACUAACUGGGUACUGUAAUUCCAAUAGGGCUGUAAUGCAUGGAAACUCACUCUUCAGAUUCCUUAGAGCUGUAACCUGAGACAGUUGAAGGGCCCAUAGUUCAUUUGGGAGGUGUAGAUAGUAGUGAAGCUGAGGAAGCCUGCAAAGGAAAGGUGUACAGAGGGUGUGCUGUCAAGCUGGCUAACACUGCAGGAUGCUAGAACUGUAUUUCCUUUGUGCUACUCUGGAAAAACUAGAACACACAAUUCAGACAUACCUCAUGUGAAGAAUUGGGGUACAGAACUAGUCUGGGGCAGUGGUAGCUAUCCUGUACAGUGAACAGCAGUUCUUGGCAACUUGUGAUCAAGAGCUGUAGCUGGACAUGAUGGCACAUGCUUGCAGUCCCAGCACCUGAGAGGUAGAAUCAGGAAGAACAGGAGUUUAGGGGGAACCUGGGCUACAUGGACUGUGUCCAAAAAAAAAAAAAAAAAAAAAAAAAAAAAAAAAAAAAAAAAAAGAGAAGAGCAGUAGCUGAAGAUUGGUAGACCCAGACUAUGAUUAUAAUACCCACAUUGUCCCUUACAUGUAUACUUGACAGUCCAGCCUCUUAGUACAGUGAGAUGGCGUCCUGUGCGCUUGCACUGCAUGACUGUGUAGCCCACGCAGGCAGAGCCAGGCAAGGCUGAAAGGCACAAUGAGAAGACAAUGCUGUGGUUCUGACCCUGGUGGUAUUUACUAUCCAUGUGAUCAGGUCUCAUCUGUAAGAUCAGAAGAUGAAUCAGUACACACCACUCUCAGGUGUGUUUGGUCUGAAGCACAUUUGAGCUGAACUUUGCACAGAAGAGAGGAGGAGGUGCCUUGUUUUACAAAGAGGGAGGUCUGUUUAAUCAGCAAGAUGGAAAAGAUUUCUUGGCAAUUUAAAUUUUCAAAGGCUAAAAGGACAGAUGUUGUCCAGUGAAAAUUAAAAACUUACCUAAAAGGCUUUUUUAAGUUUCUACUUGAACACAUAUUUCACAACUGCAGGUUUGGGCUUCUUUUUCCCUUAUGUUACAUCAUGAACAUGCCACAUGUUAACAUGCAUAAUAUACAAAGUAUGUAAUGUAAUGUAAUGUAAAUUGAUAUGGUAUGACUGGUUAUAUCUAUAUAUUAAUACUAAAUUAUGAAUGUAUAAUUGAUGUGAAAUAAAACACAUCCCUGAUAUUGAA
ensembl:lincRNA